rnacentral:rRNA from 1 species
UGGGGAAUAUUGCACAAUGGGCGCAAGCCUGAUGCAGCGACGCCGCGUGAGGGGUGACGGCCUUCGGGUUGUAAACCUCUUUCAGUAGGGAAGAAGCGAAAGUGACGGUACCUGCAGAAGAAGCACCGGCUAACUACGUGCCAGCAGCCGCGGUAAUACGUAGGGUGCGAGCGUUAUCCGGAAUUAUUGGGCGUAAAGAGCUCGUAGGCGGUUUGUCGCGUCUGUCGUGAAAGUCCGGGGCUUAACCCCGGAUCUGCGGUGGGUACGGGCAGACUAGAGUGCAGUAGGGGAGACUGGAAUUCCUGGUGUAGCGGUGGAAUGCGCAGAUAUCAGGAGGAACACCGAUGGCGAAGGCAGGUCUCUGGGCUGUAACUGACGCUGAGGAGCGAAAGCAUGGGGAGCGAACA